GACGAACGCUGGCGGCGUGCCUAAUACAUGCAAGUUGAACGCUAAAGCUUUAACUGGUGCUUGCACCGACCUAAGUUUUUAGAGUAGCGGACGGGUGAGUAACACGUGGGUAACCUGCCCAUCAGAGGGGGAUAACACUUGGAAACAGGUGCUAAUACCGCAUAAUUCCUUUUACCGCAUGGUAAAAGGCUGAAAGGCGCUUCUGGUGUCACUGAUGGAUGGACCCGCGGUGCAUUAGCUAGUCGGUGGGGUAACGGCCUACCGAGGCGAUGAUGCAUAGCCGACCUGAGAGGGUGAUCGGCCACAUUGGGACUGAGACACGGCCCAAACUCCUACGGGAGGCAGCAGUAGGGAAUCUUCGGCAAUGGACGAAAGUCUGACCGAGCAACGCCGCGUGAGUGAAGAAGGUUUUCGGAUCGUAAAGCACUGUUGUAUGGGAAGAACAGCUAGAAUAGGAAAUGAUUUUAGUUUGACGGUACCAUACCAGAAAGGGACGGCUAAAUACGUGCCAGCCGCCGCCGUAAAAC
rnacentral:rRNA from 1 species